AAGAAGAGUCUUUGUCUUUCUCUUUUUUGUUUCUUUUUCUAUUGGUAGGUGGGAGAGCGAGAGUGUUGAGUUGGUUUUGUGAGUGAGAGAAGAGAGUGUGGUAGGUGAGGGAGAUACGUGUGAGAGAAGAGGGAGUAGGGGAUAUAGGUUGUUAUUAGUGGGUGGAGUAAUCCGUGACUGCCUUUUUUAUUUCUCCUUUUUUUUCAUUCAGCUUUUUCUUUCCUCCCUU
rnacentral:lncRNA from 1 species